UGAACCUAAAAAGAUUUCUAUACCUGUGAAC
rnacentral:piRNA from 1 species